AUUUAUUGGUGACAUCAUAGUUUUAUUGAGCUCAGCCAUUGGGUAUAAGGAACUCCAGGCUGGAACACUGCAUGAUUCAGACGACAUAGAGACAAGCCCUGAAGAAAGAAAGCACCUUGAGCAUCCUUGCUUCCUGCAAAACAUCCCUCCAGCGAGGUCACCAGGAGAACUGUCCAGCUGAGCUCUAACCAACCCACAACAGAGAAGUAGCAAAGUGUUCCUGGUUAGGACACCAAAUUUGGGAUGGUUUCCUAUGUAAAAAUUAGUAAUAGAGACACUUAGCUAAUGAUCAGCAAGCAACUGGAUGUACAAUGAACAGAGACAAGGGAGGAGCUGACGUAUCUCUUAACAUUGUACCAGAAUUUUA
ensembl:lncRNA